CCUCGGGGGCCCUGGCGUGGGCGAGCCCUCUCUGUCACAGCGGAAGAGGCCUCGUGGAGGAGACUGGGAAGAGGAUGGCCCCUCACAGUUUGAAGAGGAGCUGGCUUUUCUAGAUGAGGUGGAGGCUGAGAUGGCUCUGGAGGCAAAGGAAGCGCAGGAGGCACCUGAUGACAUUCCUCUAGAUAAUCUCAUCUCAUCGGUGCGGAAUCCCAAGUGGCAGAGGCCACCGCUUCCCAAAAUAAACCCGAAGGAGGACGCUUUGUGUUUCCAGCAAGUGGACCUGGAUUAUUAUGUGGGUUCUCACAUGCCUGGCUUCCCAGGAUCCACC